rnacentral:lncRNA from 1 species
GUGAGAUUGAGCGGACUGCUUGGAAGUAUCUUACGUUUUGAGUAAGAAGGAAACUAUAUGACAAGGCCAGAGGGGGCAAGACCGGUGACCUUUGCUUUUGCAUGAGAGCUUUCACUUGCAUCUUACUCUGGAGGACUGCGUGACCCCGGGCAGCUCAGGGCUUCCUGGGAGGGUCCUGAGCCCCAGCCCAGCUCUCACAGGGAGACAAGGAACAUCCGGAGAGGUGAGGCAACUUGCUGAGAUCCUACCAGGAGACGGUGGUGAGAGGUCAAACAUUGUGUGGAAGGGGAAUUGA